AUGUAAAUGCCUACAACAUAGCGUUAAUGCAUGGGAUCCCAUUAGAACUAUGCAGUUAAGCGUGCUUGGGCUAGAGUAGUACUGGGAUGGGUGACUACCUGGGAAGUCCUAGUAUUUUACAUG
rfam:Picea glauca, whole genome shotgun sequence.